rnacentral:rRNA from 1 species
AUUGAACGCUGGCGGCAUGCCUAACACAUGCAAGUCGAGCGGACGAACGGGGCUUGCUCCUGGAUUCAGCGGCGGACGGGUGAGUAAUGCCUAGGAAUCUGCCUGGUCGUGGGGGAUGACGUCAGGAAACGGGCGCUAAUACCGCAUACGUCCUGAGGGUGAAAGUGGGGGAUCUUCGGAGCUCACGCUAUCAGAUGAGCCUAGGACGGAUUAGCUAGUUGGUAGGGUAAAGGCGUACCAAGGCGACGAUCCGUAACUGGUCUGAGAGGGUGAUCUGCCACACUGGAACUGAGACACGGUCCAGACUCCUACGGGAGGCAGCAGUAGGGAAUAUUCGGCAAUGGGCGAAAGCCUGACCGAGCCACGCCGCGUGUGUGAAGAAGGUCUUCGGAUCGUAAAGCACUGUUAGUUGGGAGGAAGAGCUGUAUGUUAAUACAUUGCUGUUUUGACGGUACCAACAGAGUAAGCACCGGCUAACUUCGUG